rnacentral:tRNA from 1 species
GCCUCCAUAGUUCAAUGGAUAGAGCACGAGCCUCCGAAGCUUGUGAUGUGGGUUCGACUCCCGCUGGAGGCA